CUGGCCCAAUAUGGCUCUAUAUAAUAAAGUAUAUAAUAAAGUAUAUAAUAAAUAUAAUCAAUUAAAGUAUAUACAAAUUGUCACCCUAUCUGAUGCAAGCGCAACUGCAUGUGCACAUACUAGAAUGUUCGUGAUUCCAAAUUUCAUAAUUACAUGCAUGGGUGAUCUUUUGAUGGCAGGAAAGAAAAAAAUAUUUCGAAACACCAGAAAAGAAUAACUGGACAUCUUCAAAGGAUAUGUUGAGAAUGUUGUGAACACAAAUAACUGGCCGCUUAGUUCCUUAUUCUGAACUUCCAAAUCUAUAAAUGUGUAUUAAGUAUCGAUAUAUAAGUAAAU